rnacentral:rRNA from 1 species
UACGUAGGGCGCAAGCGUUGUCCGGAAUUAUUGGGCGUAAAGAGCUCGUAGGCGGUCUGUCACGUCGGCUGUGAAAGCCCGGGGCUCAACCCCGGGUCUGCAGUCGAUACGGGCAGGCUAGAGUGCGGUAGGGGAGACUGGAAUUCCUGGUGUAGCGGUGAAAUGCGCAGAUAUCAGGAGGAACACCAAUGGCGAAGGCAGCUCGCUGGGACGUGACUGACGCUGAGACGCGAAAGCGUGGGGAGCAAACAGG